GUGCGUUAGAACCCUGGGGAAGCAAGCUGGGAACCUCCCUCGAAGCCUGUCUGUUUCACUGUGCUCUCCUUAUCAUAGACACCUGCCACAGGGUUUGGCAUUUCCCCUUUUCUGAUUGGCUGCCUCCCCAGGGCCCGGGCCUCAGUGCUGGUGGCCCUCUGGGGGUCGGGAGCGCAUAAAUAGUUCCUGCUGGGGAAACUGGGAAACUGGUCUCAGACAAGAGGAACAGAGAUCUCUGCCACGCACUGCUGCCUGGAGCUGCAUGGGGUCCCAGUGCUGCCAGCGUGUCUUCUGUGUAUCGCCCCAUGCACCUCUGCCUCAGCCACAGCCCUUCCCCGCAGCAGCUCCCGCGGCCUGGCCUGGUAGAGCUGCAGCCCCAGGCCUCCUUCUACUCCUUCCUGGUACGACUGCAUGAACCCCAGAGACCCAAGAAGCGAGUAGUGUUUGCAGACACGAAGGGGAUCUCGUUGACAUCCGUGCACAAGUUUGAAGAUGCUGUGGGCAGACACUCUGAAGAAGCCUCGUGUCCCAUGUUCAGUUUCCUGCGCCCUGCGCCACCUGGCUGGCCAGAGCCACCACCUACGCUCUGGGCUUCCCCGCACCCAGGCAGGGUUCGGGGGUUCCAGAGGCGCCUGCAGGUGCAGAGUGUGCGCCCGGAGCAGCGUGCUGGGCAGGGGCCUUCCUGCGAGGCGCUGUCUAGCAGGCAGGCUGGGUUCCAGAAGGCAAGGCAGAUGCGCAUCACCUUUGAUGUCAGGGCUCCUUCCAAGAAGUGCCUAGUGUUCACACGGCCAGUCCUUGCAGAAGCGAGACUGACAGCUUCGCCUUCCAAGCCAUGUUGCCACU